UUAUUUUGCCCACCGUGAAAUGUGUUCGUAAUGUCAUCAUGAGUCAAAGCAGCGUGUUGUCGAGUGCCAGUACGAUCCCCCAUCAAUUAUAGACCAGGACGACAACGAUUUUAACGACGAACUGUCGCAUGUGAAUGAUUUGUUUUUCGGAAAUGUGGAAUUAAAUGUCGGCGCCGAGUGCUCAGCGGUAACUACUGGUUCUGAUGAAAGUGACUGUGAUAGUGAAGAUGUGUGUAAUGAUCUGAAUAACAACGAUGAUAAUGACUUUGAAAUUUCUGAUUCUGACAAAAGAGAGGCGCAGUGUGUGCAUGAUUUUUAUGAAAACACUUGUGGAUGCAGCAGACUCUAUGGUAAGCCAUGUAGCUCCAUUGUUGACAGAAAUGUACUCAAUGAUUACAGAAACGUGUGUUUAGAGACAGACAAAUCUGAACAUGAUAUGCUGAUAAAGGUGCAGCUCUUCCAUCAUAGAAAUAAUUCUUCAGAAACAUCUGCCAAGAAACACAAGACAAAGGAAAGAGAAAGGGUGAGACAAGUUUAUCAUUUUAGUGGAAUCCAGGUGUGUAGAGAGACAUUUGCUUUCGCCCAUGGGAUAAGUAGGAAAACCAUUGAUUCCAUUGCUAGAUCCCUUGAUCAAGAUGGGUUUGGUGCUAGAGUUCAUGGCAACAAAGGUAAAUCCCCUAAACAUGCCUUAACAAUGGAGGAUGUGAAGAGAGUCAAACAGUUUCAACAAAUAUGGACUCCCCCUACCUGGCAGGCUACCAAAUUUCAGAAAUGAGAAAACUAUUUUACUGCCCUGUGACAAAACCAAAGCAGAAGUUCACCAGGAAUAUUUGACACUUGCUGAUGAGAUGUCAUUGAGAAAGAUAUGCUUAUCUCAAUUCAAAACAGUAUGGCUUGAGCAGUGCCCUCAUAUUUUGAUCAUGAAGCCUGCCACAGACCUCUGUCACACCUGCCAGUCCUUUUCGUCAACUCUUUCAUGCAGCGGCAAUUUGAACGAAGAGGAAAAAGAGGAUAUUCUAUCAAAAUAUCAAGAGCAUGUUGGACAUGUCAAAGAACAGAGGGACCAUUACAGGGAUCAGUGUGCUGCGGCCAAAUCAACAUUUGUCCAACUCACCCCAGAGCAAAAAAUAAGAGGCCAGCCACCCUGCACAUUGCAGUCUGAGUUUCAUUAUAGCUUUGACUAUGCACAACAAGUGCAUUAUCCUCACUAUGCACAACAAGUUGGGCCAUUGUUUUUUAAAACACCUAGAAAAUGUCAAUGCUUUGGCAUCUGCUGUGAGGGAUCAGGCACCCAGAUAUUUUAUCUUGUGGAUGAAGCUCAGCACUCAAAUAAAGGCGCAAACACUGUGACCAGUAUGCUGCAUCACCAUUUCAUGUACCAUGGUCUUGGUGAAACAGAUGUCAAGCUUCACAUGGAUAAUUGCAGCGGGCAAAACAAGAAUAACACGGUCAUCGGAUAUGGUAUGUGGAGAGUAAUGACUGGUCUCCAUGAGUCAGUGGAAUUUUCAAUGAUGGAAGUUUAACCCAGAUUGGCAUUUUGGGUUAUGGAAAGUCAUACUUUUCAGAUGUAAAACUGAACAUUCGGCUAUUGAAAACCUCACCUCAACAUAUACAUAAUUAUUUGGUCGGAAAGAGAAUCGUUUCGUUAAGACAUCAGUAAUAAUAAUUAGACAGAGUAUCCAAACACUUCAACUUCACAAAGAGUGAGAUACUCAGUGAUUAUGGAGAUCUUAACGAAUCUCCCCUGUGGUAAUGUCGGACAGGCGAUGACUACCAGCUGUGACAAAGUACCGGGACCAGCAAAGAAUCCACAGGGAGUGUUGACUUCUGACUCUGUCAGCCCUACAAUGACGGUAGCAUUCCGCAGCCGGUCUGACACAUCUAAGUAAAAAAACAAAACAUAUAUUAAUGUGAAACUGUUAACUUAUAAUUCGAAAACCUGCAUUUUUCUUAUAUUUUUUUUCUUAUUAUUAUCUCCUAGCUAUAAAUAAAAACGUAAAAGAU
rnacentral:misc_RNA from 1 species